AUGGCGCAUCAGUGGACAUAUUCACAACAUGUGGACGACGAGUGUAAUGGAAAGGGAAAGAGGGAAGAGGAGCAAUCGCCGGAGGUGAUGGUGGAGACAGGGAAGUCAUCGGUGACGAAGGUGAAGACGAGGAAAGCAUCGGUGAUGAAGGUGGAGAUUCAUGCGGCAAGGAAGAAGAAACUGUGGGAGAGGACAACCAGAUCUGCGACAGCGGGAGGAAGGGUAGAAAUAUGGUGCACAGAGGGAGGUGUAUCGGGAAAUGUGAGAAAAGAUAUGUCCUCCAUAGAAAAGGUCAAGGAGGAUGGACGCGGGUAG
rnacentral:rRNA from 1 species